rnacentral:rRNA from 1 species
UACAGAGGGUGCAAGCGUUAAUCGGAGUUACUGGGCGUAAAGGGCGCGUAGGCGGUUAUAUAAGUUAGAUGUGAAAGCCCUGGGCUUAACCUAGGAACUGCAUCUAAGACUGUAUGACUGGAGUACUGUAGAGGGUAGUGGAAUUUCCGGUGUAGCGGUGAAAUGCGUAGAGAUCGGAAGGAACACCAGUGGCGAAGGCGGCUACCUGGACAGAUACUGACGCUGAGGCGCGAGAGCGUGGGGAGCAAACAGG